GGAGUUACGACGCAGUGAUUAGAGUUUGAUCCUGGCUCAGGAUGAACGCUAGCUACAGGCUUAACACAUGCAAGUCGAGGGGCAGCAUAACGAAAGCUUGCUUUUGUUGAUGGCGACCGGCGCACGGGUGAGUAACGCGUAUCCAACCUUCCCCAUAGUAGAGAAUAGCCCGGCGAAAGUCGGAUUAAUGCUCUAUGUUGUAUCAUGAGGACAUCUGAAUAAUACCAAAGGUUCACCGCUAUGGGAUGGGGAUGCGUCUGAUUAGGUUGUUGGCGGGGUAACGGCCCACCAAGCCCACGAUCAGUAGGGGUUCUGAGAGGAAGGUCCCCCACAUUGGAACUGAGACACGGUCCAAACUCCUACGGGAGGCAGCAGUGAGGAAUAUUGGUCAAUGGACGGAAGUCUGAACCAGCCAAGUAGCGUGCAGGAUGACGGCCCUAUGGGUUGUAAACUGCUUUUAUACAGGGAUAAAGUGAGGGACGUGUCCCUUUUUGUAGGUACUGUAUGAAUAAGGACCGGCUAAUUCCGUGCCAGCAGCCGCGGUAAUACGGAAGGUCCGGGCGUUAUCCGGAUUUAUUGGGUUUAAAGGGAGCGCAGGCUGAUGAUUAAGCGUGACGUGAAAUGUAGCCGCUCAACGGCUGAACUGCGUCGCGAACUGGUUAUCUUGAGUGAGUUCGAUGUUGGCGGAAUUCGUGGUGUAGCGGUGAAAUGCUUAGAUAUCACGAAGAACUCCGAUUGCGAAGGCAGCCAACAAAGGCCUUUACUGACGCUAAAGCUCGAAGUGCGGGUAUCGAACAGAUUAGAUACCCUGGUAGUCCGCACGGUAAACGAUGGAUGCCCGCUGUUUGCGAUAUACUGUGAGCGGCCAGAGAAAUCGUUAAGCAUCCCACCUGGGGAGUACGCCGGCACGGUGAACUCAAGGAAUUGACGGGGGCCCGCACAGCGAGACAUGUGGUUUAUCGAUGAUACGCGAGACUACCGGGCUGACUGCAGAGACGAUCAGAGAUGUGAGCCUCUGCUCUGUGAAGUGCUGCAUGUGUCGUCAGCUCUGCGUGAGGUCGCUUAAUGCUACCGAGCGCAACUUCAUAGUUGCAUCAGGUAUGCUGCAUUUGGUAUCGCACGUAAGGGUGAGGAGUGGUACCAUCACGCUAGUCGCUCACCCGUUCAAUGGGUACAAGC
rnacentral:rRNA from 1 species